rnacentral:tRNA from 1 species
UCUCUGGCAGUCCAGUGGUUAGGACUUGGCACUUUCACUGCCGGGACCUGGGUUCAAUCCCUGGUUGGGGAG